CGGACGGGUGAGUAAUGUCUGGGAAACUGCCUGAUGGAGGGGGAUAACUACUGGAAACGGUAGCUAAUACCGCAUAACGUCGCGAGACCAAAGAGGGGGACCUUAGGGCCUCUUGCCAUCGGAUGUGCCCAGAUGGGAUUAGCUAGUAGGUGGGGUAAAGGCUCACCUAGGCGACGAUCCCUAGCUGGUCUGAGAGGAUGACCAGCCACACUGGAACUGAGACACGGUCCAG
rnacentral:rRNA from 1 species